AACAGAAACAAACUUGGGAGUGACAGACGAGCAGUGACAGACGAGCAGCGACAGACACCGGCGCCAUUUUGGUUUCCCCCAAGCUGAGUGUGUGAGACAUGAACAAUGUGCCCUGGUCAGUCAGUAUUUCUUUCGGAAACUGAACUCAGGAGAAGACCUGCAAUGGCGAAACGCUCUUUGCAGAAAUGUCAAUCUGGGGAGAGGCCCAUCCAGUCCAACAUGUCACUGCACACAUCUGGGAAGCUCCUAGAAGAGCCCGGCAGCAGGCUUAGAGCCACCGUCUGAGCCUUCCCUGACAACAGUGGCAGCAACCACUCUGCCACAGGCCACUGGCACACCUCUGUCAUGGUCUGGAAUGUUUCCAUGAUCACCUGGGAAUCGUCACCCGCUCCCAUCCGGGGAUUGAGGCUAGAAGGAUAUGUCUCCCAAAUGGAAUCUGGAAGCUGGUUCCACAGAAGAGGGGCCUGAAAGAUCAAGGCUCUGCCUCCCGUUCUACUUUUAAAUACUUUAGGAACCACAAGUUUUAUUAUAGUAUUAUUGUUAAUAGGCUAUGCUGCAUCUGUUUUAUUCCUGCCCUGUGCACUGGUGGUGUUGUAAUACUUGUCCUGUGACCCACUUUAUUUUACCUGGGUCAAGAUCGUUUGUAUGUGCAGCAGAGUGAUGUGGUUCGUUAGACUGAUUCUGUCAUUUGGAGUGCCAUUUUUUGUAGCAGGUUGCCCAACAAUUUUAUUUAUUUAUUUACUUUUUCGGAGUGCCAGCCAGAUGGUUCUCUGGGAGACUAGCUCAUAUCCCCUUAAACCGAUCUCCAACCAGCUCUCUGAAAAGUCAAGCACAUGCCUGAAGGGAAAUCACACACUGUGUGUGUCAAAAAAAAAAGAAAAAAAUUAACAGCCAGCCCGAGUUGAAGAAAGAGUUUCUCAUAAAGGAAAGGGAAAUAUGGAGAAAUAGAGUGAAAAAAAGAGAAAAAUAAAGAACAUCAGUGAUCUGAAAGAAAGAGAAAAAAGGCAGAAGAGAAGGUUUUGGAAGAAAGCACAGAGAGACAAAAGGAGAGAAAGUACAGCAGGGUCUAAACACACAACCACAGAGUACUUUAGGAAUCAAGGAGUAGUAGGUAGCUACUUGCUGGUGAACUAUUAAGAUGUAGAACUUGACAUGUGCUAAAACAGAAUUGGUAUAAUGUGUCUUGUGAUAUUACAAAGGUUGUUAAGGUUUAAUGGUCAUUUUGAAAGAAAUAAUAUCUUGUUUUCUACUAGUGUGUCACCACCGUCAGCACCUUGUCAACUCCAUAAUAUGGAGUUUUUGUUUAUUUUUCUCUUUUGGAGAACCACAUAUUUUCCUCCCUCAUGAUCUUCCUGUAAAAACAUGUAAUUUUCUCAAUAAACGUGUAAUUUACAAUCUGCUUAAUAUGAUUGUUUCUUAUACAGAUUAAAUACAAGCUUCUGAAAAUAUGUAUGACUGUAACUUGAAGCGAGAUUGAUCAACUGUAGACCAGACAACAAACGACGGAGGCCCAGAAAAGUGCAAUCAAACGAUGAGUUUAUUGACAACGGAGAACAACCAUCAGCAUAUGGCUUAUUUGCUCUGACAAAAAUACACUGAGUUCUGGUUUUAUAGCACAGAGGAUCACACCCCCACAUACACGUCAAUACAGGUCAAAAAUACAUUAUGUCCAGUCAUUGUUUACAGACAAGGGUACAUCUUGUACAUCUCUAAUAACUAUAAACAGACAUAUAACUUCUCUUUUUGAUAACACCUUCCUUUUAAGGUAAUAACUUCAAGCUUCAGGGCCUCUAAGGGCUAAUAAUGGACCCUCGUCCUCAAUCACUAAGUAGACUAAAUUGGCGCAGGUCUCAAAUAAGAAGCAGAAGACACUUGGGCCUUCGCUCAGGCCUGCUACUAGAUUUAUGUGUAUUGUAAGCAUGCAUGCAAUUAACCUGCUAUGUUCUCAUCUUCCCUCAACAUGUAUCACCUGGACACUCUCACCAGUGAAGCUUAAAACCCUCUUGGAUAGAACAUCAACUCUAAACAAGCACAGUUAUGCAUUGUGUAUAGAAUGAACUCAACCUGUGAAUAGAAUGAAUGUGAUGACAAACAUAUUCAAUGCAAUAUGAACCCUGUAAACAAUAUUACUGAUAAAAUAAUACUGUAGAACAUGUUAUUAAUGCAUUUAUCAUAAGGCAGAGUAUAUGGCAGCAAUAAAAGAAUCUCUAAAUCCCAACAAACUCUAAUAAUAAAAAGCCAAAACAAUCUUACUUUUAAAUGUGGUAUAAUUACUUUGAAAACAUAUGUGCAUAAAGAAUAGAAUAGAGAAGCUGCUAAUAGUCAAAAUAGCUGAAACAAUUUAAUUUAAAAUAUAUAUUUUUGCAUUUCUUUGUGUCUGACGGUGUUGACAAAAACCUUGCACUUCUCCAGCAAAAACAUAAAUUAUUAAAAAAUGUUACACCUGGGAGAUUGUACCAAAACAUGGUGAGACAGCCAAAACUUUGUGUAACAAUUAUAUAUAAAUAUGUUUUUGAAAAAUCAAAAAAUAUAUUUUAGAAAAUUAAAACCUGUUUUGUCCCUUAUCUCAAGAAUCACUGAAAUGCGUUCUUAUUACUGUUUGUUUUGACUUUUAAGAUACCCAGCCAGGUUAUUUUCAUUCAAAUGCUAAGACAAAAUAUCAAUAUCUAUGAAUGUGGAGACUCAAAAGUCUAGUUAGGUAAUAGCUGCCGAUGGAUUUAUGAGACUUUAUAGAAAGUUGGACGUUUGCAGCAGGUGAAUCGGUGAACUACCGAGGUUGCGCCCAAAUGCUUAAAGCUGUUAGCUGGUCAGUGUUUUCAGGUGUGCUUGUACUACCUGUACAGUGCGGAGUGCUGACUUAGUCAGGCUAAACCCAUUAAAGCGUCGAGCUCAAAUAUCUUUUCAUUUUUGUGCACUGCUCUCUUGUCUUUUGUCGGCACACAUUUUCUGUUUAUUGAAGCCUUUUGUUAAUAAUUUUGAUCAUGUAAAAACUGGGAAUUGGUCCCUAUUGACAAUACUCUUAUUAUUUAUUUAUUUAUUUUUUUUGCAUUGCAUA
ensembl:lncRNA